rnacentral:rRNA from 1 species
CGUAGGCAGCAAGCGUUGUUCGGAGUUACUGGGCGUAAAGGGUGUGUAGGCGGUUGUUUAAGUUUGGUGUGAAAUCUCCCGGCUCAACCGGGAGGGUGCGCCGAAUACUGAAUGACUUCGAGUGCGGGAGAGGAGAGUGGAAUUCCUGGUGUAGCGGUGAAAUGCGUAGAUAUCAGGAGGAACACCGGUGGUGUAGACGGCUCUCUGGACCGUAACUGACGCUGAGACACGAAAGCGUGGGUAGCAAACAGGAUUAGAUACCCUGGUAGUCCACGCCCUAAACGAUGCACAUUUGGUGUGGGCAGUUCAGUCUGUCCGUGCCGGAGCUAACGCGUUAAAUGUGCCGCCUGGGGAGUACAGUCGCAAGGCUG